UCUUUUCCUUUGUCGUCUUAUCAAGACAUAUGAUAGGUCUGCAGCAUAGUUGUGACUACAUAGUAGAAUUUUCUCCAGAAGAGAUUAAUUCAGUCAUUCCUCACUUUAUGCAUUCUCUUUCAACAGAAGUAAACAUAAGAGCUGCCAAAGUUGAAAGGAAUGGACAUAUGAAGGUUAAAAUCAGGUAGUCCAAAUUUUGGUGCCUGCAAUUUAGGCGUGUACUAUGAAGGCUCUGUCUACCACUUGGAACCUGUAUAGGCUUCUAAUGAUAUGGAAGAGUAGUUGGAGAUAGUCCUUACUAGGGAAAAAGGAUACCCCUAACACUAGUCAGCAUUUAAUAUGGCAACCUAGAAAGCUCCUUGAGUCAUUUGCUUUUUAACUUUGUUUACCUCCACAGUAAAUGUCAAGUAGAUU